GGAGAGUACAGCUCAGUGGUAGAGUGCAUGCUUAGCAUGCACGAGGUCCUGGGUUCAAUCCCCAGUACCUCCA
rnacentral:tRNA from 1 species